GUGGGUAUACUUCAUUGGUAGAAUGUUUGCCUAGUAUGCAUGAAGUCCUGGGUUUGACUCCCAGUACCUCA
rnacentral:tRNA from 1 species